rnacentral:rRNA from 1 species
UACGUAGGCAGCGAGCGUUUGUUCGGAAUUACUGGGCGUAAAGAGUGCGUAGGCGGUGCUCUAAGUCUGUUGUGAAAUCUCCCGGCUCAACUGGGAGGGUGCGGCGGAAACUAGAGUGCUAGAGUAUGGGAGAGGUAAGCGGAAUUCCUGGUGUAGCGGUGAAAUGCGUAGAUAUCAGGAGGAACACCUGUGGUGUAGGCAGCUUACUGGACCAUGACUGACGCUGAGGCACGAAAGCGUGGGUAGCAAACAGG